CCUACGGGAGACUGCAGUGAGGAAUAUUGGUCAAUGGGCGUAAGCCUGAACCAGCCAAGUCGCGUGAGGGAUGAAGGCUCUAUGGAUUGUAAACCUCUUUUAUAAGGGAAUAAAGUGCGGGACGUGUCCCGUUUUGUAUGUACCUUAUGAAUAAGGAUCGGCUAACUCCGUGCCAGCAGCCGCGGUAAUACGGAGGAUCCGAGCGUUAUCCGGAUUUAUUGGGUUUAAAGGGUGCGUAGGCGGCCUUUUAAGUCAGCGGUGAAAGUCUGUGGCUCAACCAUAGAAGUGCCGUUGAAACUGGGAGGCUUGAGUAUGUUUGAGGCAGGCGGAAUGCGUGGUGUAGCGGUGAAAUGCUUAGAUAUCACGCAGAACCCCGAUUGCGAAGGCAGCCUGCCAAGCCAUGACUGACGCUGAUGCACGAAAGCGUGGGGAUCAAACAGGAUUAGAUACCCUUGUAGUC
rnacentral:rRNA from 1 species